AUCCAUUGGCUGGGAUCUCUGUGGUGGAAUGCUGCUGGGACCCCCUUCUAACCUCCCCCCAACCCUCCCCUUGAGUUCACCCAUCCACCCAUUAGGAAUUCCAGCAGGGCAUUGUGGGUGGGAUGAAUGGGGUCAGAGCCAAGGAAACAAACUGUAAAUGUUUUGGCAGCUGUGUUCUGUGAUUACAGGAGCAGAGGCUACGGUGAAUCCAAAGUGUCAUGCUGGGAGAUCAGGCAGGCCGCGGCUAAUGAGAAACACUGUUCACGUGAUCCGCAGGGGUGGCCCGUGCUGCGCCGGAGACACCCAGACAGGUGUUGGCAGUCACAUUGCUAUGUGCCGCCCACCCCCUCUACAUUGGCACAGAAAUGACCAGAAGGCUGUUCUGUGCCGCUGCUGUCCUCCUCCCGCUCUAGAGGAGCAUCACGCGCUCGUGACGGCAGCAUCUUUUGCGUCGUGUUCCUCUCCACAGCAUCACCCUUACAAAAGACUCAAGGCUAUAUGAUUGUCGUAUUCUUUCUCUGUGUUGAUUCAUGCUGAGCUUCUGAGCGUGUGGACGCGCUUUCUCACACGUAUUAACGUACACUGCAGUGCCUUGAAUAUGUGGAGAGCAGUGGGGAGUGGUUAUUCACGUCAGGGAGCUGCGUUCCAGUGCUUACGUUCAUGUACCUUGCCAGAGCCUGAGUUCACACACGCAACGCUUAAGCACGACUUGAAUUCGUCAGUGAUCCUCCAUGACAGGGUUUUGUCUUCCUCUGUCUCCUCUCCAAAAAGCAGACAAUCUUGAGGGUUUGCUGCCAGGAGCUCUUCAUUAGUUGCACUUGCAGUAGCUAUUUCCUAUUCUGUUGAACAGGUUUUAAAAAGGGCAUAAAAAGUCUUAAUUAACCCUUCCACAAAUGAAUGCCUUUAAAUCUUAAAUCGGACUUAAAUUCAUAAAGUCAUGGUAUUGUUGCAUACACUGUAAAAAAAAAAAAAAAAAAAAAAAAAAGGAAUCUUCUUCUGUAGGCCUAUUUUUGUUUUGAUUUCCAAUACAAAUAUCUGAACAUCCUUUAAUCAAGCUAAAUUUACUUGAGAUGCAAGUCUUGUUUUCUGACAUGAAGUCUUGUUUUCUGAGAAAUUAAAGAAAAUGAAGUGACCUUCUGCUUGAAACAAGAGCAAAUAUCUGUCAGUGAGGAAUGACAACUUGUAUUCCCUUUGAAUUAAAGGCAUAGUUCACCCAAAAAUGUAAUUCUGUCGUUAAUUACUCACCUUCAUGUCGUUCCAAACCCAUAAGACCUUUGUUCAUCUUCGGAACACAAAUUAAGAUAUAUUUGAUGAAAUCAGAGAGCUUUCUGACCCUGCAUAAACAGCAAAGCAACUGAUGCCCUCAAAGCCCAGGUAUGUAGUUAGGACAUUGUUAAAAUAGUCCAUGUGACAUCAGUGGUUCAACCAUAAUGUUAUGAAGCUACGAGAAUACAUUUUGUGUUCAAACAUAAAUAAUGAUCAUCUUCAAAAAAUCUUCUCUUCUGUGUCACUGUGUCACUAUCUUAUUGAUGUUCUUACUACCUAUCUGUGCCUUGAACGUGGUAGUUCCCUUAAUGUCUAUGGAGGGUCAGAAAGCUCUUGGAUUUCAUCAAAAAUAUCUUAAUUUUUGUUCCAAAGAUGAAUGAAGGUCUUACAGGUUUUCUAACAGGAUAUCUUAAACUGACUCCUAAAGUUUAUGAUAUUCUUCAUAUUCUGUGUGGUGGUUAGUUCACACUGAAAGAAAUUAAUCUUUGUCAGUCGGCUUUAAUUUAUUUUUACCUUUCACAGGCAUUUUUACCUUUAUAAAGCAAUUUUCUAAAAGUGUGCAUUAUCUUUUCUGGAAAAAUACAUUAAAUCAGUGAAUUAGAGUAAUAAGACAUUUGCGGUGUUACCAAGCAAAUAAAAUCCGUAUCAACAAAAUUCA
ensembl:lncRNA